GACGAACGCUGGCGGCGUGCUUAACACAUGCAAGUCGAACGAAGUGGCGAACGGGUGAGUAACGCGUAAUCAACCUGCCCUUCAGAGGGGGACAACAGUUGGACACGACUGCUAAUACCGCAUACUGAGGGAGGGGAUUGCGUCUGAUUAGCUAGUUGGAGGGGUAAAGGCCCACCAAGUCGAUGAUCAGUAGCCGGUCUGGUAUGAUGAACGGCCACAUUGGUACGUAGACACGGCCCAGACUCCGACGGGAGGCAGCAGUGGGGACUCGUCCGCAAUGGACGAAAGUCUGACGAAGCAACGCCGCGUGAGUGAUGACGGCCUUCGGUUUGUAAAGCUCUGUUAAUCGGGACGCGGUACCGGAAUAGAAAGCCACGGCUAACUACGUGCCAGCAGCCGCGGUAAUAC
rnacentral:rRNA from 1 species